rnacentral:rRNA from 1 species
CGAACGUGGGUAACCUACCUCAUAGUGGGGGAUAACAGUCGGAAACGACUGCUAAUACCGCAUAGGACAUGGGAUCACAUGAUUCCGUGAGGAAAGGUGGCGCAAGCUAUCGCUAAGAGAUGGACCCGCGGUGCAUUAGCUAGUUGGUAGGGUAACGGCCUACCAAGGCAAUGAUGCAUAGCCGACCCGAGAGGGUGAUCGGCCACAUUGGGACUGAGACACGGCCCAA